rnacentral:rRNA from 1 species
ACUCCUACGGGAGGCAGCAUUGGGGAAUAUUGCACAAUGGGGAAACCCUGAUGCAGCCAUGCCGCGUGUGUGAAGAAGGCCUUCGGGUUGUAAAGCACUUUCAGUAGGGAGGAAGGUAGUGUAGUUAACACCUGCACUAUUUGACGUUACCUACAUGAAGAAUGCACCGGCUAAACUCCGUGCCAGCAGCCGCGGUAAUACGGAGGGUGCGAGCGUUAAUCGGAAUUACUGGGCGUAAAGCGCAUGCAGGCGGCCUGUUAAGUCAGAUGUGAAAGCCCGGGGCUUAACCUCGGAAUUGCAUUUGAAACUGGCAGGCUAGAGUCUUGUAGAGGGGGUAGAAUUUCAGGUGUAGCGGUGAAAGUGCGUAGAGAUCUGAAGGAAUACCAGUGGCGAAGGCGGCCCCCUGGACAAAGACUGACGCUCAGAUGCGAAAGCGCUGGGG